GUUUCUAUUUAUGGUGGAGCCGGCGAUCGGCGUGCGGUUGGAAGUGGUGUCCCUGAGGCACCUGCUCGCCCUUUUCCUGCGCCUCCGCAACGUCGGCUGCGAAUGAGUCUCCUAAAGGACGCCCGGGAGGAUCGGAAACAGCCGAGUCCCGGCGCGGGCAGUGUCCUGCGCUCCUCCCCGGGGUCUGGCCGGGGUGGGCCCGAGGCCCCCGGGCCCCCGGUUACCGCCGCGGGCGCGUCUGCGUCCUGACCCGGAGGGACCCGCGGGCCGGGCCGUACCAGGUGGCGCUGGGGUUAGGGUUGCCGCCACGGAAGCCCAGCUCUGUGGACGCCUGCAGGGCGCCCUCACCGCCCGGGACGGGGGACCCAGCCCAGCCGCAGGGGAAGGACUGGGGCUCGCGGGGACGGAGGGCGGUUAGGAUUGCUGGAUACAACACGGAACGCCCAAUUAACGUUUUUGUUUAACGUGUUUUUUGUAGAGAUGGGGUCUCGCUAUGUUGCCCAGGCUGGUCUUGAACUCCUGGCCUCAAGCGAUCCUCCCGCCUCGGCCUCCAGAGUAGCUGGGACUAGAGGCCUGAGACAGCACGCCCGGCUCAGUUAAGAUUUUAAAACAGAUUUGUUGAAAUAUAAUGCACUUACUGUGAAAUUCACUUAUUGAAAGCUUAUGGCUUUGCCGUAUAUUCGGAGAUGGGCGGCCAUGCUCACUAUCUCAUGUGACACCGUUUCUGUUGCCCCAGAAAGAAACCCCGUGCCCAUGAGCGUUCACUCCCCACCCUGCCCACGGCCCAGCAAAUCUGCUUCAGCCCCUAUAGAUUUACCUCUACCGCGUUGGGCAUGUACUAAAAAUUGUUUAUCUGAAGUACAGAUUUAUCGGCAUCCCAUAUUUUUAUUUGCUAAUUCUGGCCAUCCUAAAGGUGGCAUCGCUCGCUCUGACCAAGGAAGCCUCAAGCAGGCAGGCACGAGAGUCCAUCCCUAGCCCUGCCUGGCCCCUCAGAGCCCAUCCCUGGCCCUGCCUGGCUCCUCAGAGCUGUCCCUGGCAGGCUCCGGGCUCAGGUGCGCUGCCAGGAGGGGGGCAGUGAGGGCUGUUUUAGGUAUAACAAUCCUGGAUAUUUCCUGAGUAUCUUGUCCGAAUGGUUCCUCUUUCUGUAUUUUCUAGCUUCCUCUGUAUAUUUAAAAAUGGUCUUAUUGGUGUGUUUCUUCACGACAUUUCAAUUUUUUGUUAUCAUUUCCCACAAUUUCAGUGAUGCAAGAUGGUCCUUUCUGAGCAGAGCUCCCCUCGCUCAGUGCUCCUUUGUUUCACGUAGAAGAUCUUCUUGAGGGGACUGUGUGGCCAGUGCAGCCCAGGCCUCCCCACCCUGCACCGUUCAACAGAAGAGCAGCUGACGCAGGGGGCCCUCAACAUGCUCACCCAAAAGUCAGCGAGAUUCUGCACCGGCCCACUAGCCUUCCAAUUGUAAACUAAAAAUAAAAUCUUGGCCAGGCA
rnacentral:lncRNA from 1 species